rnacentral:rRNA from 1 species
AAGACCUUGCGCUUUUGGAGCGGCCGAUGUCUGAUUAGCUUGUUGGUGAGGUAAAAGCUUGCCAAGGCUUCGAUCAGUAGCUGGUCUGAGAGGACGGCCAGCCACACUGGGACUGAGACACGGCCCAGACUCCUACGGGAGGCAGCAGUGGGGAAUUUUGGACAAUGGGGGCAACCCUGAUCCAGCCAUGCCGCGUGAGUGAAGAAGGCCUUCGGGUUGUAAAGCUCUUUCAGCCGGAACGAAACGGUUACGGUUAAUACCCGUGACUACUGACGGUACCGGAAGAAGAAGCACCGGCUAACUACGUGCCAGCAGCCGCGGUAAUACGUAGGGUGCAAGCGUUAAUCGGAAUUACUGGGCGUAAAGCGUGCGCAGGUGGUUUUGUAAGUCAGAUGUGAAAUCCCCGGGCUUAACCUGGGAACU